rnacentral:rRNA from 1 species
GAUGAACGCUAGCGGCAGGCCUAACACAUGCAAGUCGAGGGAGGAGGCCUUGUGCGGGCAGAGAGCGGCUCACGGGUGCGUAAGUCGUAUGUAAGCUACUAUUCACAGGGGGAUAGCGCGAAGAACCUUGGAAUAAGACUCCAUAAUAUUAUUGGAUGUCACCAUUUGAUAAUUAAAACUGCGGGGGUGUAAGAGGGGCAUGCGUCCUAUUAGCUAGAUGGAGUGGUAAGGGCAGCCCAGGGCUACGAUAGGUAGGGGUCCUGAGAGGGAGAUGCCCCACAGGGGUACGGGGACAGGGGGGAGACUCCUACGGGAGGCAGCAGUGAGGAAGAGUGGUCAAUGGUCGGAAGACUGAACCAGCCAUGCCGCGUGCAGGAAGAAUGCCUGAGGGGUGGUAAACUGCGUUUAUAUGGGAAGAAUAAGGCGUACGUGUACGUUGAUGACGGUACCAGAUGAAUAAGCAUCGGCUAACUCCGUG